CACUGAUUUAUUAAAGAGCCGCGGUAUUUUGACCGUGCAAAGGUAGCAUAAUCAUUAGUAUAUUAAUUGUAUACUGGAAUGAAAGGUUUGACGAGAAAUAUACUGUCUCUAUUAUAUAUUUAUAAUUUUACUUUCUAGUUAAAAGGCUGGGAUUUUUUUUUUGGACGAUAAGACCCUAUAGAGUUUGAUUUUAAAUAUUUUAUUAUUUUGGGUUAAGUUGUUAAUGAUUAAUUUUAUUAUUAGUUUUGUUGGGGUGAUGUGAAUAAUAGUUAAACUGUUCAUUAUUUUUAUCAUUGAUUUAUGUUUUUUAUGAUCUUGUAUUAUUGAUAUAAAGAUAAAAUUACCUUAGGGAUAACAGCGCAAUUAUCUUUGAGAGUUCUUAUUGACAAGAUAGAUUGUGACCUCGAUGUUGGAUUAAGAUUAUUUUUUAGGUGAAGGUGCUUAAUUUAGUUGGUCUGUUCGACCAUU
rnacentral:rRNA from 1 species